UUGCACGCUGGCGGCAGGCCUCACACAUGCAAGUCGAGCGGAUGAGUGGAGCUUGCUCCAUGAUUCAGCGGCGGACGGGUGAGUAAUGCCUAGGAAUCUGCCUGGUAGUGGGGGACAACGUUUCGAAAGGAACGCUAAUACCGCAUACGUCCUACGGGAGAAAGUGGGGGAUCUUCGGACCUCACGCUAUCAGAUGAGCCUAGGUCGGAUUAGCUAGUUGGUGAGGUAAAGGCUCACCAAGGCGACGAUCCGUAACUGGUCUGAGAGGAUGAUCAGUCACACUGGAACUGAGACACGGUCCAGACUCCUACGGGAGGCAGCAGUGGGGAAUAUUGGACAAUGGGCGAAAGCCUGAUCCAGCCAUGCCGCGUGUGUGAAGAAGGUCUUCGGAUUGUAAAGCACUUUAAGUUGGGAGGAAGGGCAGUAAGUUAAUACCUUGCUGUUUUGACGUUACCAACAGAAUAAGCACCGGCUAACUUCGUG
rnacentral:rRNA from 1 species